rnacentral:rRNA from 1 species
GAUGAACGCUGACAGAAUGCUUAACACAUGCAAGUCGAAGGGGAAGUGGUGCUUGCACCAUGGCAACCAUGGCGGACGGGUGAGUAACGCGUAAGGGACUUACCUGCAGGACUGGGAUAACAGGGGGAAACUCCUGACAAGACCUGAUAAUGUCAUGGAGCUGCAUGGCUUUAUGAUGAAAGGAGACGCCUGCGGAGAGCCUUGCGUCCUAUUAGCUAGUUGGUGAGGUAAUGGCUCACCAAGGCGAAGAUAGGGAGCCGGCCUGAGAGGGUGGACGGCCACGAGGGGUCUGAGAUGCGGCCCUUACGCCUACGGGAGGCAGCAGGGGGGAAUAUUGGACCCUGGGGGCAACCCUGAUGCAGGACUUCUGUGUGCACGAAGAAGGUUUUCGGAUUGUAAAGUGCUUUCAGAAGGGAAGAAGUAAGUGACGGUACCUGCAGAAGAAGCGACGGCUAACUACGUG